CAGUGAAGCUGUGCAGAAAUCCAAGAGGUUGCCUUGGUGUCAGCUGACCCUGAGACAUGAGCCAGCCAUACAGGAAAGCUCCAUCUUUCCAGGUGCUCGGGCCAAGUCUUCCCAGUCAGGCUUCACUCCUCUGCCACCCUUCGUCCCAUCAUCUGUACACACUGUUGUUGCUACCUUCUGAAUCUACUGAGUCUGACGUGACUACCAGCUUGGGCCAUGCCACCAGCCCCCCUCAUCAGAUCCAGAGGUGAACGGACUUCUGCCACAGCUUCUGCCAUGAUGGACUGUGUCAUCGCAGGCCCAGAACAAUGGGGCCCAUCAACCCUAGAUGGGAACCUCUGGAAAUGUGAGCCAAAAAUAAGCCUUUCCUCUUUUUAAGUUGAUAUAUCUCAGCAAUUUGUCCUACUAACAGAAAACUGACACAGGAGCUGACUAAAUAUGUCAGGUCAUGUUUUUCCUCUGAUCGAAACCUUCCAUGGUACCCACCCACUCAGAGCAAAAGUCAGUUUGCACAAAGCUCCCCAUCUCCCUUCUUCCCCUCUUCCCGGCUACUCUGUGCCCCUUGGGUUAGCAAAAUCCAAGCGGUGGCUUCAUGCUUUUCCUGGAGCUCUCCGUGGUCCUGAACUG